UUAAGCGACUAAGCGUACACGGUGGAUGCCCUGGCAGUCAGAGGCGAUGAAGGACGUGCUAAUCUGCGAAAAGCGUCGGUAAGGUGAUAUGAACCGUUAUAGCCGGCGAUGUCCGAAUGGGGAAACCCAGUGCAAUUCGUUGCACUAUCGUUAACUGAAUACAUAGGUUAACGAGGCGAACCGGGGGAACUGAAACAUCUAAGUACCCCGAGGAAAAGAAAUCAACCGAGAUUCCCCCAGUAGCGGCGAGCGAACGGGGAGCAGCCCAGAGUCUGAAUCAGCUUGUGUGUUAGUGGAACGGUCUGGAAAGUCCGACGGUACAGGGUGAUAGUCCCGUACACCAAAAUGCACAGGUUGUGAACUCGAAGAGUAGGGCGGGACACGUGGUAUCCUGUCUGAAUAUGGGGGGACCAUCCUCCAAGGCUAAAUACUCCUGACUGACCGAUAGUGAACCAGUACCGUGAGGGAAAGGCGAAAAGAACCCCGGCGAGGGGAGUGAAAAAGAACCUGAAACCGUGUACGUACAAGCAGUGGGAGCACCUUCGGGUGUGACUGCGUACCUUUUGUAUAAUGGGUCAGCGACUUAUAUUCUGUAGCAAGGUUAACCGUAUAGGGGAGCCGCAGGGAAACCGAGUCUUAACUGGGCGUUAAGUUGCAGGGUAUAGACCCGAAACCCGGUGAUCUAGCCAUGGGCAGGUUGAAGGUUGGGUAACACUAACUGGAGGACCGAACCGACUAAUGUUGAAAAAUUAGCGGAUGACUUGUGGCUGGGGGUGAAAGGCCAAUCAAACCGGGAGAUAGCUGGUUCUCCCCGAAAGCUAUUUAGGUAGCGCCUCGUGAAUUCAUCUUCGGGGGUAGAGCACUGUUUCGGCUAGGGGGUCAUCCCGACUUACCAACCCGAUGCAAACUACGAAUACCGAAGAAUGUUAUCACGGGAGACACACGGCGGGUGCUAACGUCCGUCGUGAAGAGGGAAACAACCCAGACCGCCAGCUAAGGUCCCAAAGUCAUGGUUAAGUGGGAAACGAUGUGGGAAGGCACAGACAGCCAGGAUGUUGGCUUAGAAGCAGCCAUCAUUUAAAGAAAGCGUAAUAGCUCACUGGUCGAGUCGGCCUGCGCGGAAGAUGUAACGGGGCUAAACCAUGCACCGAAGCUGCGGCAGCGACACGAUGUGUUGUUGGGUAGGGGAGCGUUCUGUAAGCCUGCGAAGGUGUGCUGUGAGGCAUGCUGGAGGUAUCAGAAGUGCGAAUGCUGACAUAAGUAACGAUAAAGCGGGUGAAAAGCCCGCUCGCCGGAAGACCAAGGGUUCCUGUCCAACGUUAAUCGGGGCAGGGUGAGUCGACCCCUAAGGCGAGGCCGAAAGGCGUAGUCGAUGGGAAACAGGUUAAUAUUCCUGUACUUGGUGUUACUGCGAAGGGGGGACGGAGAAGGCUAUGUUAGCCGGGCGACGGUUGUCCCGGUUUAAGCAUGUAGGCUGGUUAUCCAGGCAAAUCCGGAUAAUCAAGGCUGAGGUGUGAUGACGAGGCACUACGGUGCUGAAGUAACAAAUGCCCUGCUUCCAGGAAAAGCCUCUAAGCAUCAGGUAACAUCAAAUCGUACCCCAAACCGACACAGGUGGUCAGGUAGAGAAUACCAAGGCGCUUGAGAGAACUCGGGUGAAGGAACUAGGCAAAAUGGUGCCGUAACUUCGGGAGAAGGCACGCUGGUGUGUAGGUGAAGUCCCUGCGGAUGGAGCUGAGACCAGUCGAAGAUACCAGCUGGCUGCAACUGUUUAUUAAAAACACAGCACUGUGCAAACACGAAAGUGGACGUAUACGGUGUGACGCCUGCCCGGUGCCGGAAGGUUAAUUGAUGGGGUUAUCCGUAAGGAGAAGCUCUUGAUCGAAGCCCCGGUAAACGGCGGCCGUAACUAUAACGGUCCUAAGGUAGCGAAAUUCCUUGUCGGGUAAGUUCCGACCUGCACGAAUGGCGUAAUGAUGGCCAGGCUGUCUCCACCCGAGACUCAGUGAAAUUGAACUCGCUGUGAAGAUGCAGUGUACCCGCGGCAAGACGGAAAGACCCCGUGAACCUUUACUAUAGCUUGACACUGAACAUUGAGCCUUGAUGUGUAGGAUAGGUGGGAGGCUUUGAAGCGUGGACGCCAGUCUGCGUGGAGCCAACCUUGAAAUACCACCCUUUAAUGUUUGAUGUUCUAACGUUGGCCCCUGACCGGGGUUGCGGACAGUGUCUGGUGGGUAGUUUGACUGGGGCGGUCUCCUCCCAAAGCGUAACGGAGGAGCACGAAGGUUAGCUAAUCCUGGUCGGACAUCAGGAGGUUAGUGCAAUGGCAUAAGCUAGCUUGACUGCGAGCGUGACGGCGCGAGCAGGUGCGAAAGCAGGUCAUAGUGAUCCGGUGGUUCUGAAUGGAAGGGCCAUCGCUCAACGGAUAAAAGGUACUCCGGGGAUAACAGGCUGAUACCGCCCAAGAGUUCAUAUCGACGGCGGUGUUUGGCACCUCGAUGUCGGCUCAUCACAUCCUGGGGCUGAAGUAGGUCCCAAGGGUAUGGCUGUUCGCCAUUUAAAGUGGUACGCGAGCUGGGUUUAGAACGUCGUGAGACAGUUCGGUCCCUAUCUGCCGUGGGCGCUGGAGAAUUGAGGGGGGCUGCUCCUAGUACGAGAGGACCGGAGUGGACGCAUCACUGGUGUUCGGGUUGUCAUGCCAAUGGCACUGCCCGGUAGCUAAAUGCGGAAGAGAUAAGUGCUGAAAGCAUCUAAGCACGAAACUUGCCCCGAGAUGAGUUCUCCCUGAGACUUUAAGUCUCCUGAAGGAACGUUAAAGACGAUGACGUUGAUAGGCCGGGUGUGUAAGCGCAGCGAUGCGUUGAGCUAACCGGUACUAAUGAACCGUGAGGCUUAACCUU
rnacentral:rRNA from 1 species